CGUGGGCGUGGCCAGGGCCCGCCAGCGCGCACGCGCGAACCGCAUCCCGGUGGCCGCCUGGUACCCGAAGUGUCCCGCGUUCGUCAUGUCGGCGUCGGUGGUGUCCGUCAUUUCGCGGUUCCUGGAGGAGUACUUGAGCUCCACUCCUCAGCGGCUGAAGUUGCUGGACGCCUAUCUCCUUUAUAUACUGCUGACCGGGGCGCUGCAGUUCGGCUACUGUCUCCUCGUGGGCACCUUCCCCUUCAACUCGUUCCUCUCCGGCUUCAUCUCUUGCGUGGGCAGCUUCAUCCUCGCGGUGUGCCUGAGAAUACAGAUCAACCCCCAGAACAAGGCGGAUUUCCAAGGCAUCUCUCCAGAGCGAGCCUUUGCUGAUUUCCUCUUUGCCAGCACCAUCCUGCACCUUGUCGUCAUGAACUUUGUUGGCUGACCUGCUCCCGUUCCCUUCGAGGUGGAGUUGGAGACGGGCAGAAUGAAACACGGAGUCACUUCUUCUGAAGACCCUGACCUGUGGUCCACUCUUUGACGUCCCCUGGAUAAGAGUUCUUGAACAUUGAUUCUUCAGAUUGUGCUUAACUGUGACUGACCGGGUAUGAGACGGGCGCCCAGAGAACUCCCUUUGCCCCGCCAGACCCGCUUCCCAGUGCGGUCUGUUAACACGACAUCUGCCUUCCCCAAGUGUAACCCUUACUUUCCAAAUUAAACAGUUUCUCUGCCGCUCCUU